rnacentral:snRNA from 1 species
UGCUUUGCGCAGAGGCGAUAUCGUAACCGAUGAAGUUCAUCUGAGGUGCGAUUAUUGCUAGUUGAAACUUAAGUGGUACCGUUUGUAAUUUUUACAUAGCACUCUCCUUUGCAUGGGGAAGAAUUUAAAAAAACUCGAAAGAAUAAAGUUU